rnacentral:rRNA from 1 species
UGGGGAAUAUUGGACAAUGGGGGCAACCCUGAUCCAGCCAUGCCGCGUGAGUGAUGACGGCCUUCGGGUUGUAAAGCUCUUUUGGCGGGGACGAUGAUGGCGGUACCCGCAGAAUAAGCCCCGGCUAACUUCGUGCCAGCAGCCGCGGUAAUACGAAGGGGGCUAGCGUUGUUCGGAAUUACUGGGCGUAAAGCGCACGUAGGCGGACAUUUAAGUCAGGGGUGAAAUCCCGGGGCUCAACCCCGGAACUGCCUUUGAUACUGGGUGUCUAGAGUCCGGAAGAGGUGAGUGGAAUUCCGAGUGUAGAGGUGAAAUUCGUAGAUAUUCGGAGGAACACCAGUGGCGAAGGCGGCUCACUGGUCCGGUACUGACGCUGAGGUGCGAAAGCGUGGGGAGCAAACA